GAGGUUCCAGUCAAGGCUAGCUAUUUGGCUUGACCCCUGUAAAGUUCUGUGCCCCUGGGAAUUGAUAGCCGCUGGGCGCCUGGCGAUCUUAAAUGAAGGGUUGGACAGCUGCCCCUACGCUGUGUCGCUUUUAAAGCGUUGCUGAGAGGAGAGAUGGGGAGCAGUUAUACUCCUGGCUGAGACUGUGAAGAUUUAAAAAGAGAAAAGCCAGUCAGAAGGAAUUAAACCAGAAACUCCACGCCUUGACCAUUUAUCAUCAUCCAAGAACCAGAAUGAACUUACUCUUUACCUCUUCCACUGUCUUUCAUAGUAAUCAGAUUGACUCAGGGGAGAAAAACAAACAGACAUUCAGCGUAUGGCUAACUGAUUCUAAAAAAUGAAAACUAAAUUACAUAUUUUAUUUUUUGUCUGGGAUGGGUGGCAUGGGAUCAGGAACAGUGUUAUUUUCUUCGAGAAUAAAAUCAAACAUGAGAAUCUGA